rnacentral:rRNA from 1 species
UUAAAAUUGUUGCAGUUAAAACGCUCGUAGUUGAAUUUCAAAGAAUCGAUAUUUUAAGUAACGCUUCUAGCUAUAAAUCCACAUAACUGAUGCCUCCGCGUAUCGACUUUGUGCGCAUUUUAGCUAUUAUGUGUUCUUUUAAUUAAAAUGAUUCUUUUUAAGAUUCAUCUAUUAAAAAUUUGCUUCGGCAUAAUUUUUUUUGAUGAUCUUGUUACUUUGAGUAAAUUAGAGUGUUCAAAGCAAACAGAUAUAGCAUUUGUGCGUUUGAAUACUACAGCAUGGAAUAACAAAAUUGAACAAGUCAGAAUUUUUUUGUUCUUUUUUCUCAUUUUGGCUUAGUUACGAUUAAUAGGAGUAGCUUGGGGGCAUUUGUAUUCAGAUGUCAGAGGUGAAAUUCUUAGAUUUUCUGGAGACAAACAACUGCGAAAGCAUUUGCCUAAAAUACUUCCAUUAAUCAAGAACGAAAGUUAAGGGAGUGAAGACGAUCAGAUACCGUCGUAAUCUUAACCAUAAACUAUGCCGACUAGGCUUUGGAUGAAAGAUUUUAAAAUAAGAGUUUUUCUUUUCUCUCCGGAGAUUAGAACUCUUAGAUUGCUUCCUUCAGUGCCUUAUGAGAAAUCAAAGUCUUUGGGUUCUGGGGCGAGUAUUCGCGCAAGCGAGAAAGUUAAAAGAAUUGACGGAAGGGCACCACCAGGCGUGGAGCUUGCGGCUUAAUUUGACUCAACACGGGAAAACUCACUAGUUUAAGACAAGAGUAGGAUUGACAGAUUAAUAGCUCUUUCUUGAUUUCUUGGAUGGUGAUGCAUGGCCGUUUUUAGUUCGUGAAUAUGAUUUGUCUGGUUAAUUCCGAUAACGAACGAGAUCUUAACCUGCUAAUUAGCGGCAAAUACGAUAUAUUCUUAUGUAGAAUUGAAUAUAGUGGAUUUGUUGGAUUUUGAAGAAAAUAUUGGAAUUACGUUUAAAUGUGAUUCCUUUCCCUUUUCUACUUAAUUUACAUUUCCAUCUAUUUCUUUUUUGCGUAUGAAUGUAUUUGCUUGAUUGUAAAGCUUCUUAGAGGAACGAUGUGUGUCUAACACAAGGAAGUUUAAGGCAACAACAGG